AAUCUACCUAGUAGAAGGGGAUAGCCCGGGGAAACUCGGAUUAAUACCGUAUACCUCCUUAGGGAGAAAGAGGGCUUAGCUUUGAUGCUCUCGCUAUUAGAUGAGCCUGCGUAAGAUUAGCUUGUUGGUGAGGUAAUGGCUCACCAAGGCGACGAUCUUUAGCUGGUCUGAGAGGACGAUCAGCCACAUUGGGACUGAGACACGGCCCAGACUCCUACGGGAGGCAGCAGUGGGGAAUAUUGGACAAUGGGCGCAAGCCUGAUCCAGCCAUACCGCGUGUGUGAAGAAGGCUUUCGGGUUGUAAGGCACUUUAAGUAAGGAGGAAAAGAUUGUAGUUAAUACCUGCAAUCCGUGACGUUACUUACAGAAUAAGGACCGGCUAAUUCCGUGCCAGCAGCCGCGGUAAUACGGAAGGUCCAAGCGU
rnacentral:rRNA from 1 species